CAAUCUACAGAGGGGCAAAAGUGAUACAAGUUGUUGGAGGGCAGCUUGGGCUAUAAAUACAUUGUGAGGUUCUCUCUGCCCCCUCCCCAGGAAAAAAGUUCUUUUGUAGAAACAGUUAAUGUAAUUCAGUACCUGCAGAGCCAAAAGGUGGGGAAGGGCUGCCAUUGUAGAUAGUGGUAGAGCACUUAUCAGGACCUAAGAGGUAAAGGAGUUAACAUUGUUACAGGGAAAAUAGUGUAGAUUAAUAGCGAAGAAAAAGGCUUUCUCAUUAGUGAAAUUAAGUCUAUAGACUAUACCACACAAAUACUUUAAUGGCAUUUUAGGUAGUAUGCACUUGGGUGAGAAAGCCUAGUUCAGUGCACAUCAAUGUGAAUAGAUUUUUUUUAAAUGUAGAAUAAACUUAAAACUAAUUUUCCUUUUUACAUAAAUGUAAUAUAAAGUGAACAAAAUUUGUAGCAGAUAAUUAUGCCCCAACAUGAAGUCGAUUUUCUUAGAUGAGCAGUGAUACCUAAAGCUGUUGUGGGUGAACCUCACAAGAGCUUUUCUUCUCUAGAACAUUCUGGUGCCUGGGUAUUGGAGGUAAUGUGUGGUAGCUGCUAAGUUGUAACAUUUUCUUUUUUUCUUUUUUAAAGUAAUAGCUAAUAAGCCAAGGUGUGUAAGAUCAGGAUGAUAGAUGCAUUGAGGGCCUAGCUUGGCCAAGGUCACUUGAAAAGGAGUAAGUUGGCAUAAGCCGUAAUCUGACUUUGUGGCUUGUCCAGAACACUGUUCUUUUGAGGAACCUUGUCCUUGUAUGACUUUUAGCUUUGCAUUGAAAUAAAGGGGUAGAUACAAGGCAUAAAUCAAAUAAUACGAAGAUGAGAAGUCUAGGCGGUUUAUUAAUAGUCUCUAGUUUUUUCUUUUUUUUUUUUUUUUUUUUUGCUAUUAGUACUUGGUAUGGGUACAUGUUUAUAAGAGACAAGUAUUUGAAGAACUUGGUCUAGCUGACUCAAGUUGGAGUACUCCUUGUCACUAACCUUUUUUUCCCAAAGCCCUUGGAAAAUGAGCUGUAGUGCUGAUUGAAAGGGAUAUAUGCAGCAUUGGUAUAGAAUAGUGGGUAGAAUCAGGAAUUUUUGCUUUAUUUGCAAAUUCAUGGGACUCAAGAUGCCCAAUAGCAGGUUGAAAGUAAGAACUUAGGAAUGAUAAUAUGAAUAUGUUCUUUCCCCAUUGUGU
rnacentral:lncRNA from 1 species